UAAAAUAAUUGUACUUAGUGCUUGUGAUUGAGAAUUACCACCUAUAAAUAUCUCAGCUAGAUGAGAUUCUUUUUCUGAUAAGUGAGCUGAAACCUGUGUGUUUAUAUAGGUUGAAUCCUUGCUGGUCCUGACUUUAUUAGGUUGACAUUUUCAAAUUUCCAAUGUACUAGCACUCUCAGAAGAGGAAUACUAAGGGGUGUGUCAUUGAUGACUUCUCAGUUUCAGGUAUAUUCUCCUUAGCUUCAUUGAGUAACUCCGGCUUCAUUUCCCCUGAGAAAUUAGAAUCUGUCAUACCAGCCAAUACAGUGAUCUCUCACUUUGUCUGCAGAAUCAGGAGCACGAGGAGGCCAGAAUUGCCAGGAGUAGUCUCAGCUUUCAAUUUAAUAGGAUCAUGUGUACCCUACUGGAAACACUAACCUUUUAUGAACUAAAACCUUCUGGUCCACUAACUGAGUUCACAGAUAUGUGUUUCAUUAAUGCACCUACAUAUUUAAGAUAAAAUCACAGCUGAUAGCUUGGAAGCUGCACUCCUCUCUCUUUCCCUUCCACCCCACAUCUGGAGAAGCUGAUGAGAAAGCCUGAGUGCUUCCUGGUCCCUGCAUGAAGUUCAAACCCCACAGGCCCUGAAUAAGAGCUGGAAUAAUCUCCUCAGUCUAUCCUAAGACACUAGAGGCCUAGAGAAUCAUCAAGUCUCUAAUUUCAAAAUCUAUUGUGAGAUAAUAAUGAGAUGACACUUCAGUGCUUACUUUUUAUGAUUGCCACUAGGAAUUUAUAAAGUAUAUGAUUUCGGGAGAAGAAAAUUAUUCUGUAUGGAAGAUCUGAAGUGCAAGAGGCAAUGGUAAUCGUUUGUA